UACGUAGGCAGCGAGCGUUGUUCGGAGUUACUGGGCGUAAAGGGUGCGUAGGCGGUUGUUUACGUUUGGUGUGAAAUCUCCCGGCUCAACUGGGAGGGUGCGCCGAAUACUGAAUGACUAGAGUGCGGGAGAGGAGAGUGGAAUUCCUGGUGUAGCGGUGAAAUGCAUAGAUAUCAGGAGGAACACCGGUGGUGUAGACGGCUCUCUGGACCGUAACUGACGCUGAGGCACGAAAGCGUGGGUAGCAAACAGG
rnacentral:rRNA from 1 species